UUUGCGAUAUACUUUGGUUUGUCUCAUUCAGGUUAGGAUUCUAGAAUCUAGUGGUAAAUGUUUACGAGGUGGUAUUUCAGUAUGUUGUCCAGGAUCGCAGUAUAAUAAAGCCACAGAAAAAUGUGAGGAAUGCCCACCUGGAUAUUAUCACUGGCACUGUUCUAGAAAAUGUCAAUAUCGAUAUUAUGGGAAGCGUUGUGAAAAGGAAUGUUCAUGUUCAGAAGAUCUUUGUCAUUUCUCUUAUGGUUGUUCGGAAUCCGAAGGGCAAGGGACAGUCGCUUCGUUACAGAAUUUUGAAAACAAAAGUGAAUAUC